UACGUAGGGUCCGAGCGUUGUCCGGAAUUACUGGGCGUAAAGAGCUCGUAGGUGGUUUGUCGCGUUGUUCGUGAAAACUCACAGCUCAACUGUGGGCGUGCGGGCGAUACGGGCAGACUGGAGUACUGCAGGGGAGACUGGAAUUCCUGGUGUAGCGGUGGAAUGCGCAGAUAUCAGGAGGAACACCGGUGGCGAAGGCGGGUCUCUGGGCAGUAACUGACGCUGAGGCGCGAAAGCUAGGGGAGCAAACGGG
rnacentral:rRNA from 1 species